rnacentral:rRNA from 1 species
CACGUAGGGUGCGAGCGUUGUCCGGAAUUAUUGGGCGUAAAGAGCUUGUAGGCGGUUUGUCGCGUCUGCCGUGAAAUUUCGAGGCUCAACCUCGAACUUGCGGUGGGUACGGGCAGACUAGAGUGUGGUAGGGGAGACUGGAAUUCCUGGUGUAGCGGUGAAAUGCGCAGAUAUCAGGAAGAACACCCGUGGCUAAGGCGGCUCUCUAGUACGGUACUGACGCUGAGACGCGAAAGCGUGGGGAGCGAACAGG